rnacentral:lncRNA from 1 species
CCUGACUCAAGGAGACACCUUGGAAAAGAAAAGCUCACUGUGGAGCCAAUACAAUUUCUCUUAUUAGAGAAAAUAAAGUGCAGUUUCACAAUUCAAAACCUAAAUCAAAACAAAAAAUUUUUUUCUGAGAAGACAACAAUAGCAUAAUUGAAUUCACAAUAUUUUUUCUUCAUUAGACUCGUCUCCAAACUCGAGAAGACAUUUUGGUAUGUCAUGCUCACUGUGGAGUCAUGUAAUCCCCUAAGGAAUUUUAACUGUGGAGUCACAGAGUCCAAAUCAGCUUUUAUACAAAACCAAACAAUUGACAAAUAUAUUUUUUUACUCGUUGGAGUCACUCUGACUCGAGAAGACAUCUCGGUCAUGCAGGCCCAACUCGGGGUCGUUUAACUCCAAAAAAGAAUUAUAAUGUGCAGAGUUACGAGUUCAAAUCGUUUUUAAAUCAAAAUACACAAGAAACACAGAAACAUUGAAGAAACAAAAUAAAAAAGCAUGUAAAACAAAGAACACAUCAAAGAUAGAGAACAUUUUAUUAACAUGAAACGAGAAUUACAGUACCUAACAACGCAUAAUCGGAGCCACCAUGGGUUGUCACCACCGUGAGUGUGCGUUCCAAAAGUAAGGAAAAUGAAAAUCCUAACUAUCUAAAACUGUAAAAAAAAUGGAAAAAUAUUUCGGUCCCUUCGAUUCUAUUUACAAAAGCCCUUUUUAUAGGGUCAAAGACAAAUGAAAAUAUGAAAGAGAGAAAAGGAAAGAGUGAAACUUGUUUUCGACACUUCGGGCUUCACUUUGAUCCAACGGUCCUCUUUAUUUUGCCUCAUUGCUCUCUACUAGCCGUUUGAUCAUCCAUAUGGCAACGCCGGUCAACUCUUCUUUCUUGUCGGUCAUCUUCUCCGGGCAGGUUUAAUCACGUGCGUCUUCGCUCUCUCUCACUCUAACCCUAGAAAAGGGUUGUUUUCUUCUUAUCGUCCUCUUUCUCUCCCUCGAAGCCUUCGCACAAAGGAUGCUUCUGCCCAAAUGAAUGCUUGAGAGAUAGACCCCCAAAGACAACCAAGCCAAAACGCUACGUUUCAUUAACUUCAGCUGUUGUCCAAGUCCAACCAUGUUACCCACUCUUGUUUUAAACAUCAGCAACGCCCCAAUUUGGAGUCAACCCACUUCAUUCUUCAAGCAGCGUUUGAGGCAAAGAUGCCCAUUAAAUCUCUUCGUCAGCUUUCAAACAACACUUUGCAGCGGCCUAGAUCAAAAGUGCAGUGGCAAUCUUUCAGCAGUGCAGCCCAAUUGCUUUGAAUCUCCCUCCAAUGAAAUGGUAGCAGCUUUCAGACGUGGCAACAACAUCAUUCCAUCAGACCAACCCCUUUGCAAAACGGCCCAUCUAUCCAAUUAAGUGGGCAAUUAGCAGCCAAUCCUAAGCGGCCAAUUCAAAUAUAAACCAAUCAACCCUCUCCAGCAUAGCAAUAGUGCAACAGCCCAAUAUACUUUUGUUGACCAAAUCAACCCAGUUGACCAAGGCCCAAAACCCAAU